ACUUAAAUUGAAGAGUUUGAUCAUGGCUCAGAUUGAACGCUGGCGGCAGGCCUAACACAUGCAAGUCGAGCGGUAGCACAGAGAGCUUGCUCUCGGGUGACGAGCGGCGGACGGGUGAGUAAUGUCUGGGAAACUGCCUGAUGGAGGGGGGUAA
rnacentral:rRNA from 1 species